AUCAUGUUCCUCUUCUUUCUUUUCAUAGUUGUUCAAAUCAUUGCAGGAGCUGCUGGCAGCAGCAUUACACCAGAACAAACCAUCAUAUCUUCACCUGAAGGCAGUAACACCACACUGACCUGCACAUAUGAUGACUCAGCUGAUUAUCUCCACUGGUAUCAACAAAAACCUCAAUCAAGACCAGAGUUUCUUCUGAUGAUU